rnacentral:misc_RNA from 1 species
AAUUCUCAACCCUACAAGUUUCUUUUGAAACUAGUAUGGCUUGGAUCAUGGGAACUGCGGGCUUUGACAAGUCGGCUUUCCUUAAAUGCAUUAGCAGAACUUUUGUUGCUAACCUCUGGUGUGAUAAUUAUCUACGCUAUUGAGAGGCGACAUGUUGAAGUACUGCUUCUAAUCGUCUGUCAUGGACAAUAUUUGACA